rnacentral:tRNA from 1 species
UCCCUCCAAGCUCAGUCGGUAAAGAAUCUGCCUGCAAUGCAGGAGACCAGGGUUCGAUUCCUGGGUUGGGAA